rnacentral:lncRNA from 1 species
AGAGAAGUAACUUCUAAUGGCCUUCUACCAGCCGACCAGUGGAGUAGCUGGGUGCAGGCACAGUUUGGGGGUAAGGAGGUCAUCUCUUCUUCAAGAUGUCCAGAAGUAACCCAGAGGUGAAAGGAGGCCUAACUUUUCUAGUGUGGCAGGUACCCCUGAAAAUGAGUUAUAAUGUUCUAAAAAUCUUUGAAGAAAUUAGAAGUUGGGGUCAAGGAGCAGAAAUUAACUCCUCACUCCCUGAUUGCAUGUUCCUGAGCUCAGAAAUGCAGGGUGUUGCCACCUGGGUGGAGACUAUUGACAUUUUAGGAGAGCUUGACCUGUUGCCUCCUAGAGUUUUGGCAGCCAGGAAACUGCAGCUUGACACUCACACCGAAAGUUUUGAAGCUGGGAGGAUGCCUGAAGCACCCCUACACUAAAGAGGUAAAGAGAAGAGAAACCAUCAGAGAAGCAAACUACAAUUUGACAUUCUACAAUUUGACAAACAAGGGGGUUUAUGUUUCUUUGAGUCAGGUGAAUACCUGCAAGAUAGCUAGGCUGAAGUAUUAUGGAAGGUACUGCCCCUCCCUCAUCAAUAAAUUUAAACAAAGGAUACUUGCCUCA